CGUGGCUGGCCCAACUGCAACGUGUGCCCUCUUUGCAAGCAAGUACAGGAGUCCGCUGCUCACCUACUCUUCUAAUGUCGCUUCACGUUGCGCAUUUGGAACAACAUUCUUCCGUGGCUUGGAAUGCAGCACAUCUCUACUACUUCAUGGUCGGCAAGCGCUUUGGUCAAAGGAUGGUGGAACGGUAACCUUCAGAUUCAUCUCGGCUCUCCCAAAGCCCUUGCCUCAUUGAUGAUGCUCAUCUCAUGGGAGGUUUGGUCCGAGAGAAACGCUAGAGUAUUCCGCAACGUGGCGGUUCCUUUGGUGGUCAUCAUUAACAAGAUCAAGCAUGAGGUGUUGCUUUAG
rnacentral:rRNA from 1 species